UUAAGCGACUAAGCGUACACGGUGGAUGCCCUGGCAGUCAGAGGCGAUGAAGGACGUGCUAAUCUGCGAUAAGCGUCGGUGAGGUGAUAUGAACCGUUAUAACCGGCGAUUUCCGAAUGGGGAAACCCAGUGUGUUUCGACACACUAUCAUUAACUGAAUCCAUAGGUUAAUGAGGCGAACCGGGGGAACUGAAACAUCUAAGUACCCCGAGGAAAAGAAAUCAACCGAGAUUCCCCCAGUAGCGGCGAGCGAACGGGGAGGAGCCCAGAGCCUGAAUCAGUGUGUGUGUUAGUGGAAGCGUCUGGAAAGGCGUGCGAUACAGGGUGACAGCCCCGUACACAAAAAUGCACAUAUUGUGAGCUCGAUGAGUAGGGCGGGACACGUGGUAUCCUGUCUGAAUAUGGGGGGACCAUCCUCCAAGGCUAAAUACUCCUGACUGACCGAUAGUGAACCAGUACCGUGAGGGAAAGGCGAAAAGAACCCCGGCGAGGGGAGUGAAAAAGAACCUGAAACCGUGUACGUACAAGCAGUGGGAGCCUCUUAAUGGGGUGACUGCGUACCUUUUGUAUAAUGGGUCAGCGACUUAUAUUCUGUAGCAAGGUUAACCGAAUAGGGGAGCCGAAGGGAAACCGAGUCUUAACUGGGCGUUAAGUUGCAGGGUAUAGACCCGAAACCCGGUGAUCUAGCCAUGGGCAGGUUGAAGGUUGGGUAACACUAACUGGAGGACCGAACCGACUAAUGUUGAAAAAUUAGCGGAUGACUUGUGGCUGGGGGUGAAAGGCCAAUCAAACCGGGAGAUAGCUGGUUCUCCCCGAAAGCUAUUUAGGUAGCGCCUCGUGAAUUCAUCUCCGGGGGUAGAGCACUGUUUCGGCAAGGGGGUCAUCCCGACCUACCAACCCGAUGCAAACUGCGAAUACCGGAGAAUGUUAUCACGGGAGACACACGGCGGGUGCUAACGUCCGUCGUGAAGAGGGAAACAACCCAGACCGCCAGCUAAGGUCCCAAAGUCAUGGUUAAGUGGGAAACGAUGUGGGAAGGCCCAGACAGCCAGGAUGUUGGCUUAGAAGCAGCCAUCAUUUAAAGAAAGCGUAAUAGCUCACUGGUCGAGUCGGCCUGCGCGGAAGAUGUAACGGGGCUAAACCAUGCACCGAAGCUGCGGCAGCGACACUAUGUGUUGUUGGGUAGGGGAGCGUUCUGUAAGCCUGUGAAGGUGGCCUGUGAGGGUUGCUGGAGGUAUCAGAAGUGCGAAUGCUGACAUAAGUAACGAUAAAGCGGGUGAAAAGCCCGCUCGCCGGAAGACCAAGGGUUCCUGUCCAACGUUAAUCGGGGCAGGGUGAGUCGACCCCUAAGGCGAGGCCGAAAGGCGUAGUCGAUGGGAAACAGGUUAAUAUUCCUGUACUUGGUGUUACUGCGAAGGGGGGACGGAGAAGGCUAUGUUGGCCGGGCGACGGUUGUCCCGGUUUAAGCGUGUAGGCUGGUUUUCCAGGCAAAUCCGGAAAACCAAGGCUGAGGCGUGAUGACGAGGCACUACGGUGCUGAAGCGACAAAUGCCCUGCUUCCAGGAAAAGCCUCUAAGCAUCAGGUAACAUCAAAUCGUACCCCAAACCGACACAGGUGGUCAGGUAGAGAAUACCAAGGCGCUUGAGAGAACUCGGGUGAAGGAACUAGGCAAAAUGGUGCCGUAACUUCGGGAGAAGGCACGCUGAUAUGUAGGUGAAGCGACUUGCUCGUGGAGCUGAAAUCAGUCGAAGAUACCAGCUGGCUGCAACUGUUUAUUAAAAACACAGCACUGUGCAAACACGAAAGUGGACGUAUACGGUGUGACGCCUGCCCGGUGCCGGAAGGUUAAUUGAUGGGGUUAGCGGCAACGCGAAGCUCUUGAUCGAAGCCCCGGUAAACGGCGGCCGUAACUAUAACGGUCCUAAGGUAGCGAAAUUCCUUGUCGGGUAAGUUCCGACCUGCACGAAUGGCGUAAUGAUGGCCAGGCUGUCUCCACCCGAGACUCAGUGAAAUUGAACUCGCUGUGAAGAUGCAGUGUACCCGCGGCAAGACGGAAAGACCCCGUGAACCUUUACUAUAGCUUGACACUGAACAUUGAGCCUUGAUGUGUAGGAUAGGUGGGAGGCUUUGAAGUGUGGACGCCAGUCUGCAUGGAGCCGACCUUGAAAUACCACCCUUUAAUGUUUGAUGUUCUAACGUUGGCCCGUAAUCCGGGUUGCGGACAGUGUCUGGUGGGUAGUUUGACUGGGGCGGUCUCCUCCUAAAGAGUAACGGAGGAGCACGAAGGUUGGCUAAUCCUGGUCGGACAUCAGGAGGUUAGUGCAAUGGCAUAAGCCAGCUUGACUGCGAGCGUGACGGCGCGAGCAGGUGCGAAAGCAGGUCAUAGUGAUCCGGUGGUUCUGAAUGGAAGGGCCAUCGCUCAACGGAUAAAAGGUACUCCGGGGAUAACAGGCUGAUACCGCCCAAGAGUUCAUAUCGACGGCGGUGUUUGGCACCUCGAUGUCGGCUCAUCACAUCCUGGGGCUGAAGUAGGUCCCAAGGGUAUGGCUGUUCGCCAUUUAAAGUGGUACGCGAGCUGGGUUUAGAACGUCGUGAGACAGUUCGGUCCCUAUCUGCCGUGGGCGCUGGAGAACUGAGGGGGGCUGCUCCUAGUACGAGAGGACCGGAGUGGACGCAUCACUGGUGUUCGGGUUGUCAUGCCAAUGGCACUGCCCGGUAGCUAAAUGCGGAAGAGAUAAGUGCUGAAAGCAUCUAAGCACGAAACUUGCCCCGAGAUGAGUUCUCCCUGACUCCUUGAGGGUCCUGAAGGAACGUUGAAGACGACGACGUUGAUAGGCCGGGUGUGUAAGCGCAGCGAUGCGUUGAGCUAACCGGUACUAAUGAACCGUGAGGCUUAACCUU
rnacentral:rRNA from 1 species